GAUGAACGCUGGCGGCGUGCUUAACACAUGCAAGUCGAACGAAGCACUUUAACCUGAUUCUUCGGAUGAAGGUUUUUGUGCCUGAGUGGCGGACGGGUGAGUAACGCGUGGGUAACCUGCCUCAUACAGGGGGAUAACAGUUAGAAAUGACUGCUAAUACCGCAUAAGACCACAGAGCCGCAUGGCUCGGUGGGAAAAACUCCGGUGGUAUGGGAUGGACCCGCGUCUGAUUAGGUAGUUGGUGGGGUAACGGCCUACCAAGGCAACGAUCAGUAGCCGAGCUGAGAGGGUGGCCGGCCACAUUGAGGCUGGGACACGGCCCAGACUCCUACGGGAGGCAGGAGUGGGGAAUAUAGCACAGUGGGGGGAACCCUGAUGCAGCGACGCCGCGUAAGCGAAGAAGUAUUUCGGUAUGUAAAGCUCUAUCAGCAGGGAAGAAAAUGACGGUACCUGACUAAGAAGCACCGGCUAAAUACGUG
rnacentral:rRNA from 1 species